UACGUAGGGGGCAAGCGUUGUCCGGAUUUAUUGGGCGUAAAGAGCGUGUAGGCGGCCAAGCAGGUCAGCUGUGAAAACUCGAGGCUCAACCUCGAGACGUCGGUUGAAACCGCUUGGCUAGAGUCCGGAAGAGGAGAGUGGAAUUCCCGGUGUAGCGGUGAAAUGCGCAGAUAUCGGGAAGAACACCCGUGGCGAAGGCGGCCCACUGGGCCGGUGCUGACGCUGAGGCGCGAAGGCGUGGGGAGCGAACGGG
rnacentral:rRNA from 1 species